ACGUGAAGGCGAAAGAGUUAAUUUCGGUUCUAAUUUCAAGUACAUUGUGUCGAUUACCAUAAAUUAAAUCAGACUACAAGUUUACGUGUUCUUACGUAAGUUUUUAUUCUGUAUACCUGACUUGAAGAAUUUUAAACCAUUUUUCCUUAAAUUUAAACGUCAUGUUUGAGAAAACUCCAUUUACACUAUUCACCGUAGGCCUACUCUUCAUCAUAACUCUUGAAAUAAUUUCUUAUAAUGGCACAAAUGCUAGAAGUCUCGAUGAACUGAAGCGCCUGAAGCGCUCAGAUUCAUCCGAAGAAGAAUCGGAUUCCAAAGAAAAAUCGGAUCCCACACAAAAACCGGAUCCCAAAGAAAAAUUGGAUCCCACACAAAAACCGGAUCCCAAACAAAAACCGGAUCCCAAACAAGAACCAGAUAUAAAGCAUCCCGUUAGUACAACAACAAUGAAAUCUACCCAUCAUGAACCAGCUAUUCCACCAGUAGAGGUAGAUGAAAAUCCGACAGGACCUGCAUCAAACGAUGGGACGAGUGGUGGAGGAUCUACAGGGGGAUGUACUUGGGAAAAUUGGCAUACCUGUGCAUGGGGAUGUACGUGGGAUAAUUGGUGUGAUUGGAGUUUCAAACCUGAAUGGAAAUGUACUUGGGAAAAUUGGGAUAAUUGGUGCGUAUGAGCAUCGAAGAUUUUUGGUACAGUCAAACUUGGAUAAGUGGAACCCAUGUAAGUGGAAAACCUCUAUAAGUGGAAUAAAAUUCGUUUCCCUAGCACUUCCCUAUGUAAACCCAUGUUAAAGUCACCUCUUUAAAUGGAAACAGAACCUAUGUAAGUGGAAUUUUGUUUUGAGUAGCAGAACUUCUGGAACUGAAAUGUUGCUUUCGUUUUACCUCUAUAAGUGAAAUUCUUUUCCUUCUUACCUCUAUAACUGAAACAUUUAUCAUAACAGCGCCUCCAGAAGUGGAAUUCGUUCCAGUUAACGAGGUAAGAAGGAGGGGAAUUUCACUUAUAGAGGUAAAACGAAAGCAACAUUUCAGUUCCAGAGGUCCUGCUACUCAGAAUAAAAUUCCACUUAUAUAAGACUUUAACAUAGGUUUAGAUGGGGAAGUGGUAGGGAAACGAAAACCUCCAUAACUGGAAUUCCAAUUUGUUCAACCUCUAUAAGUGAAACCUACUUUAGUGGAAAACCUAUGUAAGUGGAAAAAAAUCCGUUUCCCUUGCGAUUCCACUUACCCAGGUUUGACUGUACUUCUGAGUUGAUCGAAUUCAUCAAUAUGGUACAAUGUUUAUGAUCUUAUCUAUUUAGACGUAAGUAAGCAUGAAUUUGUACUCAAACACCUACCCUAUGUAUAGGUAUACCUAUUCUUUUUUUCAAUUUUACUAAAGUUUAGAUAAAUAAAAAAUAAAAAAUCGUU